GGGGGCGACCGGUUUCGACGGGGAUCAAGAGGUCACCAGUGCAUGCCGAGCUCUCGGGGUCUCGUAAAACCUCCGGGAAAACGCAACUGCCAAUCAAGAACUGGCACUCGCGGCUUAAGCCGUGACGUCUCUCCACCUGAGGCCCGCGGGGGUGGAAGGGGCGCGAUGCAGCGGGCUGGUCCAAGGCUGGUGCUCAGCGGCUGAGGACGAGAACUUUCUGGGCUAGUGGCUGUUCUAAGCCUGCCGAUGGGCGUGGGCGGCUGCGAAACUCAAACAAUCGGCUAAGCAUGUAGGUCUGGUGCGCUGAAGGUCUUCGGACCCGGGUUCAAAUCCCGGCGCCUCCACCA
rnacentral:tmRNA from 1 species